AAUGAACGCUGGCGGCAUGCCUAACACAUGCAAGUCGAACGAAGCCUUCGGGUUUAGUGGCGCACGGGUGCGUAACGCGUGGGAAUCUGCCCCUUGGUUCGGAAUAACAGUUGGAAACGACUGCUAAUACCGGAUGACGACGAAAGUCCAAAGAUUUAUCGCCGAGGGAUGAGCCCGCGUAGGAUUAGGUAGUUGGUGUGGUAAAGGCGCACCAAGCCGACGAUCCUUAGCUGGUCUGAGAGGAUGAUCAGCCACACUGGGACUGAGACACGGCCCAGACUCCUACGGGAGGCAGCAGUGGGGAAUAUUGGACAAUGGGCGAAAGCCUGAUCCAGCAAUGCCGCGUGAGUGAUGAAGGCCUUAGGGUUGUAAAGCUCUUUUACCCGGGAUGAUAAUGACAGUACCGGGAGAAUAAGCUCCGGCUAACUCCGUGCCAGCAGCCGCGGUAAUACGGAGGGAGCUAGCGUUAUUCGGAAUUACUGGGCGUAAAGCGCACGUAGGCGGCUUUGUAAGUAAGAGGUGAAAGCCCAGAGCUCAACUCUGGAAUUGCCUUUUAGACUGCAUCGCUUGAAUCAUGGAGAGGUCAGUGGAAUUCCGAGUGUAGAGGUGAAAUUCGUAGAUAUUCGGAAGAACACCAGUGGCGAAGGCGGCUGACUGGACAUGUAAUGACGCUGAGGUGCGAAAGCGUGGGGAGCAAACA
rnacentral:rRNA from 1 species